GGUGUGGGUGCUGUGUGAGGGUGUUGUGUGUGUCAGGGUGCUGUAUGUGUGGGUGCUGUAUGUGAUUGAUUUGUGUGAGGGUGCUGUGUGUGUGGGUGCUGUGUAUGAUGUGUGUGAGAGUGUUGUGAGUGCUGAGUGUGAAUGCUGAGUGUUAUGUGUUUGAGAGUGAUGUGUGAGAGUGCUGUGUGUGAGAGUGUUGUGUGUGAUAGUGCUGUGUAUGAUGUGUGUGAGAGUGCUGUGUAUGAUGUGUGUGAGUGCUGAAUGUGAGAGUGCUGAGUGUGAGAGUGCUGUGUAUGAUGUGUGUGAGUGCUGAAUGUGAGAGUGCUGAGUGUGAGAGUGCUGUGUAUGAUGUGUGUGAGAGUGCAAUGUGUGAGAGUGCUGUGUAUGAUGUGUGUGAGAGUGCAAUGUGUGAGAGUGCUGUGUAUGAUGUGUGUGUGUGUG